GAUGAACGCUGGCGGCGUGCUUAACACAUGCAAGUCGAACGGAAAGUCCCUGCUUUUGUGGCGUGCUCGAGUGGCACACGGGUGAGUAACACGUGAGUAACCUGCCAUCGGCUGUGGGAUAACUUCAGGAAACUGGGGCUAAUACCGGAUAGGAGCUCCUGCUGCAUGGUGGGGGUUGGAAAGUUUCGGCGGUGGGGGAUGGACUCGCGGCUUAUCAGCCUGUUGGUGGGGUAGUGGCUUACCAAGGCUUUGACGAGUAGCCGGCCUGAGAGGGUGACCGGCCACAUUGGGACUGAGAUACGGCCCAGACUCCUACGGGAGGCAGCAGUGGGGAAUAAUGCACAAUGGUCGGAAGCCUGAUGCAGCAACGCUGCGUGCGGGAUGACGGCCUUCGGGUUGUAAUCCGCUUUCGCCUGUGACGAAGCGUGAGUGACGGUAAUGGGUAAAGAAGCACCGGCUAACUACGUG
rnacentral:rRNA from 1 species